rnacentral:tRNA from 2 species
CGCGGCGAUCCGGGCGGUCCCGGGCUUCAGUUCAUACCUGAUGGCGUUGCGGGUUCGACUCCCGCCGUCGCGUCCA